AAAGGCAGCCUCUGGGUAAUUACGUCAUGCAACAAAGUAUCACCAUGGUGUUGUGAGCAAAGCACUGUGACUGAAGAUGUCUGGUGUGGAUGAAGAGGAGGACAGACCAGGUGUGGACAGGUUGUCUCAGAAGAGUAACCAGUCCAAUGAACCUCCACUAAACUUCAGUGAUGAACCUGGACCUUCAGACUCAAAAAAGAGGAGGACUGAUGUCUGUGAGGAGCAGCCAGAAAGAUCCAGAAGUAAGAGUGGACAUGUGUCUGCUGAGGAACUGGGUCUUCUUGUGUUGUAGAGACAUGAAAGCUUGUUGUUUGU